rnacentral:piRNA from 1 species
UCCACUUUGGGGAGUAAUGUAAGAGUGCUA